AUGGACGACGUUCACUGGUACCUAUGUGUUAUAAAUGCCAGAAAACAAUGUGUUCAAGUGCUCGACUCGCUAGGCCCAUACAUGAACCGCAAGGACCUCAUUGAUACGCUAGAAGGACUGGAGGAUUUAUUCAAAUAUGCAUCCAAGCACAUGGAAUUAAAAUCCGACAAGUGGACUAAUUUAGAUGUUACAACAUGGAAAAGAGAAGAAUAUAUUAAGAGCGGUCUUCAAACGGAUGGGUACGCCUCCUAA
rnacentral:rRNA from 1 species